GGCACUAUGGCGGAGUGGUUAUCGCGUGGCACUAGAACUUUUCCAAGCUCUAGAGUAAAUCAUCUACUCACCAAACAGUAUAUGCCAUUCCCUCUGGGAGCACAGGUUCAAAUCCUGUUGGUGUCG